CCGGGGAGGCCUCAGUGUCUCCUCUUCUUCGGGAGAACGGAAGGACGCCUGCGGCCUACAGGAGGAACUCCAAUCAAGAUACAGGAAUUCACAUUUUUGAGCAGUUCUGAGUUUUUCUGAAUAUCUUUGAAGGUUUCCAGGUGGUUUGUUCUACUAGGGCUGAUCUGCAUCCGGGCUCUCUGCCAAGCUACCAUCUCCUUUUCCUGCUGAGAAAAGGGGAUCACGAAUUUGACACCAUUCGCUGUAAGCUGUCAUCUUGGGGCCUCGUCCGGGAUCUUCAGGACAAGAUGGGAGCUAACAAUUCCAGCCUCACUCCUUUGAACUGUAUCCUGAAAAACGGGGAUAGAUUUAAUCCCCAGAGCUUAAAGUAGACACUCCUGAUCUUCCUAUGUGAUACUGCAUGGCUGCGGUACCCACUAGAGGAUGGCAACGGUGGCCAGUUGGAGGAUCUCUUAAUUAUAAUACUGUUUUACUAUUAGUCCAGUUCUGUAGAAAACAAGGGAAAUGGGUAGAAGUA